GAUGCCCUGGCAGUCAGAGGCGAUGAAGGGCGUGCUAAUCUGCGAUAAGCGCCGGUAAGGUGAUAUGAACCGUUAUAACCGGCGAUACCCGAAUGGGGAAACCCAGUGUGACUCGUCACACUAUCAUUAACUGAAUCCAUAGGUUAAUGAGGCGAACCGGGGGAACUGAAACAUCUAAGUACCCCGAGGAAAAGAAAUCAACCGAGAUUCCCCCAGUAGCGGCGAGCGAACGGGGAGGAGCCCAGAGCCUGAAUCAGCAUGUGUGUUAGUGGAAGCGUCUGGAAAGGCGCGCGAUACAGGGUGACAGCCCCGUACACAAAAGCGCAUGUGCUGUGAGCUCGAUGAGUAGGGCGGGACACGUGGUAUCCUGUCUGAAUAUGGGGGGACCAUCCUCCAAGGCUAAAUACUCCUGACUGACCGAUAGUGAACCAGUACCGUGAGGGAAAGGCGAAAAGAACCCCGGCGAGGGGAGUGAAAAAGAACCUGAAACCGU
rnacentral:rRNA from 1 species